GGGACCAUGGUGUAGUAGUUCGCAUUCGGCUCUGUGAAAGCCGCGGGAUGGGUGCAAAUCCCAUUGGUCCCC
rnacentral:tRNA from 1 species